rnacentral:rRNA from 1 species
CCUACGGGAGGCAGCAGUGAGGAAUAUUGGUCAAUGGGCGGAAGCCUGAACCAGCCAAGUAGCGUGCGGGAUGAAGGCCCUACGGGUCGUAAACCGCUUUUGCACGGGGAUAACACCCUCCACUUGUGGAGUUCUGCAGGUACCGUGCGAAUAAGGAUCGGCUAACUCCGUGCCAGCAGCCGCGGUAAUACGGAGGAUCCGAGCGUUAUCCGGAUUUAUUGGGUUUAAAGGGAGCGUAGGCGGGUUGUUAAGUCAGUUGUGAAAGUUUGCGGCUCAACCGUAAAAUUGCAGUUGAUACUGGCAGCCUUGAGUACAGUAGAGGUAGGCGGAAUUCGUGGUGUAGCGGUGAAAUGCUUAGAUAUCACGAAGAACUCCGAUUGCGAAGGCAGCCUGCUGGACUGUAACUGACGCUGAUGCUCGAAAGUGUGGGUAUCAAACAGGAUUAGAUACCCUAGUAGUC